GCGCCACAGCGCCCUCGUGUGCGAGGUGCAUGUGCUGCAGGACACAGGUGAACGAACACCAGCGGCCGUGAAGUAAAGACACAAGUGAUCUGUCGACGGACCUGUGUGAAGUGGAGACGGGUCGGACUUUCCGCAGACAUCUAAAAAAUGUGAUGCCGCGAUGUCUCCCUCAUCUCUCGGUGUAAACACCAGCGGCGGACGCCGUCCUCCCACCAGGUACAGAUGGAGCGGUGGGAACUGAAUCAAAAUGAAGCCGCGUUGUGGGUGGUUGGCUGCGGCGUGAUUGUCCUAAUGAUAUCAUCACUGGCUGUGUACGCCACAGACGGCCUCGUGAAGUCACUUACUGGACUAUAAAGGACACGACUGCCUGGUGAUGCGAGACACUCCGUUAGAGCGGGACAGGAUGGGCCUCCCCAGAGAAGACACGAGCUGAGGGCGGAGUCUCGCUCUGACUCGGGUCCCAUUCGAAAACGCCUGGCCUCGUUCCAGCCCCGCACAGGAGCGUCCGUCCCCAAGCAGCACAGUGCCGGGAGGACACGAGCACCUGAAGCUGCCCGGCACGUUACGGCACUGACACGGGGAAGCCGUCUUUUCUCCACGUGACUGCAGGCGAAGAGUCGCCAUCGACCUGACAAGACUGGUGCUUCCAGCCAUGUUGGUGACCACGCAGCUGUACCGGCCGCUGUCCUCCGGUCUGACCUCCUGUAUCUCCAGUUUGGCCUGAUCUUUGUACCACUCGAUGUCUGGCAGAGGGUCGCUGUCGGCCAGGCACUCCAUGGUCAGGUGUCCGUUAACUGGCACCGUCAACGUCCUCACGUCACCUGAGCCGAGGACGGUUGG